rnacentral:rRNA from 1 species
GACGAACGCUGGCGGCGUGCUUAACACAUGCAAGUCGAACGGAAAGGCCCUGCUUUUGUGGGGUGCUCGAGUGGCGAACGGGUGAGUAACACGUGAGUAACCUGCCCUUGACUUUGGGAUAACUUCAGGAAACUGGGGCUAAUACCGGAUAGGAGCUCCUGCUGCAUGGUGGGGGUUGGAAAGUUUCGGCGGUUGGGGAUGGACUCGCGGCUUAUCAGCUUGUUGGUGGGGUAGUGGCUUACCAAGGCUUUGACGGGUAGCCGGCCUGGGAGGGUGACCGGCCCAAUGGGGAUGGGGGAGCGGCCAGGGCGCCAGGGGGGGGAAGGGGGGGGAAAAUGUGAAAAUGGGGGGGAGGCUGGGGCGAACGACCCCGGAGGGGGGAGAACGGCCUUGGGGUUGGAAGCGGUUUUCGCUGGUACCGAGCGGGGGUGAAGGUAAAUGGGUAAAAAGGCACGGGUAAAUUAGGG